CUAAUACUCCCAAUACACAUCUACAGGUUACCAUACAGGCUUAAACAAGCUAAUACUCCCAAUACACAUCUACAGGUUACCAUACAGGCUUAAACAAGCUAAUACUCCCAAUACACAUCUUCAGGUUACCAUCCAGGCUUAAA